rnacentral:rRNA from 1 species
UACGAAGGGGGCUAGCGUUGUUCGGAAUUACUGGGCGUAAAGCGCGCGCAGGCGGUCUUCCAAGUCAGUGGUGAAAGCCCGGAGCUCAACUCCGGAACUGCCAUUGAAACUGUUAGACUUGAGGAUGAGAGAGGUGAGUGGAAUUCCCAGUGUAGAGGUGAAAUUCGUAGAUAUUGGGAAGAACACCGGUGGCGAAGGCGGCUCACUGGCUCAUAUCUGACGCUCAGGCGCGACAGCGUGGGGAGCAAACAGG